rnacentral:rRNA from 1 species
CAGCCGCCACGGUAAUACGUAGGGUGCGAGCGUUAAUCGGAAUUACUGGGCGUAAAGCGUGCGCAGGCGGUUAUAUAAGACAGAUGUGAAAUCCCCGGGCUCAACCUGGGACCUGCAUUUGUGACUGUAUAGCUAGAGUACGGUAGAGGGGGAUGGAAUUCCGCGUGUAGCAGUGAAAUGCGUAGAUAUGCGGAGGAACACCGAUGGCGAAGGCAGCCCCCUGGGCCAAUACUGACGCUCAUGCGCGAAAGCGUGGGGAGCAAACAGGAUUAGAUACCCCAGUAGUCCCUGUCUCUUAUAC